GGUUAAGCGACUAAGCGUACACGGUGGAUGCCCUGGCAGUCAGAGGCGAUGAAGGGCGUGCUAAUCUGCGAUAAGCGCCGGUAAGGUGAUAUGAACCGUUAUAACCGGCGAUACCCGAAUGGGGAAACCCAGUGUGAUUCGUCACACUAUCAUUAACUGAAUCCAUAGGUUAAUGAGGCGAACCGGGGGAACUGAAACAUCUAAGUACCCCGAGGAAAAGAAAUCAACCGAGAUUCCCCCAGUAGCGGCGAGCGAACGGGGAGGAGCCCAGAGCCUGAAUCAGCAUGUGUGUUAGUGGAAGCGUCUGGAAAGGCGCGCGAUACAGGGUGACAGCCCCGUACACAAAAGCGCAUGUGCUGUGAGCUCGAUGAGUAGGGCGGGACACGUGGUAUCCUGUCUGAAUAUGGGGGGACCAUCCUCCAAGGCUAAAUACUCCUGACUGACCGAUAGUGAACCAGUACCGUGAGGGAAAGGCGAAAAGAACCCCGGCGAGGGGAGUGAAAAAGAACCUGAAACCGUGUACGUACAAGCAGUGGGAGCACAGGUUUACCUGUGUGACUGCGUACCUUUUGUAUAAUGGGUCAGCGACUUAUAUUCUGUAGCAAGGUUAACCGAAUAGGGGAGCCGGAGGGAAACCGAGUCUUAACCGGGCGUUAAGUUGCAGGGUAUAGACCCGAAACCCGGUGAUCUAGCCAUGGGCAGGUUGAAGGUUGGGUAACACUAACUGGAGGACCGAACCGACUAAUGUUGAAAAAUUAGCGGAUGACCUGUGGCUGGGGGUGAAAGGCCAAUCAAACCGGGAGAUAGCUGGUUCUCCCCGAAAGCUAUUUAGGUAGCGCCUCGUGAAUUCAUCUCCGGGGGUAGAGCACUGUUUCGGCUAGGGGGCCAUCCCGGCUUACCAACCCGAUGCAAACUGCGAAUACCGGAGAAUGUUAUCACGGGAGACACACGGCGGGUGCUAACGUCCGUCGUGAAGAGGGAAACAACCCAGACCGCCAGCUAAGGUCCCAAAGUCAUGGUUAAGUGGGAAACGAUGUGGGAAGGCCCAGACAGCCAGGAUGUUGGCUUAGAAGCAGCCAUCAUUUAAAGAAAGCGUAAUAGCUCACUGGUCGAGUCGGCCUGCGCGGAAGAUGUAACGGGGCUAAACCAUGCACCGAAGCUGCGGCAGCGACGGUUUAAGGAUACGUUGUUGGGUAGGGGAGCGUUCUGUAAGCCUGCGAAGGUGGCCUGUGAGGGUUGCUGGAGGUAUCAGAAGUGCGAAUGCUGACAUAAGUAACGAUAAAGCGGGUGAAAAGCCCGCUCGCCGGAAGACCAAGGGUUCCUGUCCAACGUUAAUCGGGGCAGGGUGAGUCGACCCCUAAGGCGAGGCCGAAAGGCGUAGUCGAUGGGAAACGGGUUAAUAUUCCCGUACUUGGUGUUACUGCGAAGGGGGGACGGAGAAGGCUAUGUUGGCCGGGCGACGGUUGUCCCGGUUUAAGCGUGUAGGUGUGUGUUCCAGGUAAAUCCGGUUCACUUUAACACUGAGGCGUGAUGACGAGGCACUACGGUGCUGAAGUAACAAAUGCCCUGCUUCCAGGAAAAGCCUCUAAGCAUCAGGUAACAUCAAAUCGUACCCCAAACCGACACAGGUGGUCAGGUAGAGAAUACCAAGGCGCUUGAGAGAACUCGGGUGAAGGAACUAGGCAAAAUGGUGCCGUAACUUCGGGAGAAGGCACGCUGACACGUAGGUGAAGUGAUUUACUCACGGAGCUGAAGUCAGUCGAAGAUACCAGCUGGCUGCAACUGUUUAUUAAAAACACAGCACUGUGCAAACACGAAAGUGGACGUAUACGGUGUGACGCCUGCCCGGUGCCGGAAGGUUAAUUGAUGGGGUCAGCGCAAGCGAAGCUCCUGAUCGAAGCCCCGGUAAACGGCGGCCGUAACUAUAACGGUCCUAAGGUAGCGAAAUUCCUUGUCGGGUAAGUUCCGACCUGCACGAAUGGCGUAAUGAUGGCCAGGCUGUCUCCACCCGAGACUCAGUGAAAUUGAACUCGCUGUGAAGAUGCAGUGUACCCGCGGCAAGACGGAAAGACCCCGUGAACCUUUACUAUAGCUUGACACUGAACAUUGAGCCUUGAUGUGUAGGAUAGGUGGGAGGCUUUGAAGUGUGGACGCCAGUCUGCAUGGAGCCGACCUUGAAAUACCACCCUUUAAUGUUUGAUGUUCUAACGUGGACCCGUUACCCGGGUUGCGGACAGUGUCUGGUGGGUAGUUUGACUGGGGCGGUCUCCUCCUAAAGAGUAACGGAGGAGCACGAAGGUUGGCUAAUCCUGGUCGGACAUCAGGAGGUUAGUGCAAUGGCAUAAGCCAGCUUGACUGCGAGCGUGACGGCGCGAGCAGGUGCGAAAGCAGGUCAUAGUGAUCCGGUGGUUCUGAAUGGAAGGGCCAUCGCUCAACGGAUAAAAGGUACUCCGGGGAUAACAGGCUGAUACCGCCCAAGAGUUCAUAUCGACGGCGGUGUUUGGCACCUCGAUGUCGGCUCAUCACAUCCUGGGGCUGAAGCAGGUCCCAAGGGUAUGGCUGUUCGCCAUUUAAAGUGGUACGCGAGCUGGGUUUAGAACGUCGUGAGACAGUUCGGUCCCUAUCUGCCGUGGGCGCUGGAGAACUGAGGGGGGCUGCUCCUAGUACGAGAGGACCGGAGUGGACGCAUCACUGGUGUUCGGGUUGUCAUGCCAAUGGCACUGCCCGGUAGCUAAAUGCGGAAGAGAUAAGUGCUGAAAGCAUCUAAGCACGAAACUUGCCCCGAGAUGAGUUCUCCCUGAGACUUAGAGUCUCCUGAAGGAACGUUGAAGACGACGACGUUGAUAGGCCGGGUGUGUAAGCGCAGCGAUGCGUUGAGCUAACCGGUACUAAUGAACCGUGAGGCUUAACCUU
rnacentral:rRNA from 1 species